GCGGACGGGUGAGUAAUGUCUGGGAAACUGCCUGAUGGAGGGGGAUAACUACUGGAAACGGUGGCUAAUACCGCAUAACGUCGCAAGACCAAAGAGGGGGACCUUCGGGCCUCUUGCCAUCAGAUGUGCCCAGAUGGGAUUAGCUUGUUGGUGAGGUAACGGCUCACCAAGGCGGCGAUCCCUAGCUGGUCUGAGAGGAUGACCAGCCACACUGGAACUGAGACACGGUCCAGACUCCUACGGGAGGCAGCAGUGGGGAAUAUUGCACAAUGGGCGCAAGCCUGAUGCAGCCAUGCCGCGUGUAUGAAGAAGGCCUUCGGGUUGUAAAGUACUUUCAGCGGGGAGGAAGGUGUUGUGGUUAAUAACCGCAGCAAUUGACGUUACCCGCAGAAGAAGCACCGGCUAACUCCGUGCCAGCAGCCGCGGUAAUACGGAGGGUGCAAGCGUUAAUCGGAAUUACUGGGCGUAAAGCGCACGCAGGCGGUCUGUCAAGUCGGAUGUGAAAUCCCCGGGCUCAACCUGGGAACUGCAUUCGAAACUGGCAGGCUUGAGUCUUGUAGAGGGGGGUAGAAUUCCAGGUGUAGCGGUGAAAUGCGUAGAGAUCUGGAGGAAUACCGGUGGCGAAGGCGGCCCCCUGGACAAAGACUGACGCUCAGGUGCGAAAGCGUGGGGAGCAAACAGGAUUAGAUACCCUGGUAGUCCACGCCGUAAACGAUGUCUACUUGGAGGUUGUGCCCUUGAGGCGUGGCUUCCGGAGCUAACGCGUUAAGUAGACCGCCUGGGGAGUACGGCCGCAAGGUUAAAACUCAAAUGAAUUGACGGGGGCCCGCACAAGCGGUGGAGCAUGUGGUUUAAUUCGAUGCAACGCGAAGAACCUUACCUGGUCUUGACAUCCACAGAACUUUCCAGAGAUGGAUUGGUGCCUUCGGGAACUGUGAGACAGGUGCUGCAUGGCUGUCGUCAGCUCGUGUUGUGAAAUGUUGGGUUAAGUCCCGCAACGAGCGCAACCCUUAUCCUUUGUUGCCAGCGGUCCGGCCGGGAACUCAAAGGAGACUGCCAGUGAUAAACUGGAGGAAGGUGGGGAUG
rnacentral:rRNA from 1 species